rnacentral:tRNA from 1 species
AGGGGUAUAGUAUAGAUAAUACAUUUUGCCUACACCAAAAAAACAGCUUAACUCUUGCCCCAU